rnacentral:rRNA from 1 species
UACGUAGGGGGCAAGCGUUGUCCGGAAUCAUUGGGCGUAACGGGUGUGUAGGUGGCGCGCUAAGUCGGGUGUGAAAUUUCGGAGCUUAACUCCGAAACUGCAUUCGAUACUGGCGUGCUUGGGGACUGGAGAGGAGACUGGAAUUUACGGUGUAGCAGUGAAAUGCGUAGAUAUCGUAAGGAAGACCAGUGGCGAAGGCGGGUCUCUGGACAGUUCCUGACACUGAGACACGAAGGCCAGGGGAGCAAACGGG